rnacentral:misc_RNA from 1 species
AAAGUCGUAACAAGGUUUCCGUAGGUGAACCUGCGGAAGGAUCAUUAUUGAAUUAACUCGGCGGGUUGUUGCUGGCCUCCAGUGGGGGCAUGUGCACGCCUUCCUUUGUUUCUUCUUUCACCACCUGUGCACAUUUUGUAGGCUUGGAUAUCUUUCGGGGCAACUCGGUCGGGGGGCUGUCAUUCGUGGCUGCCUCUACAUUUCCGGUCUAUGUUCUUCAUAUACACCAUUGCAUGUCGCGGAAUGUAUCAAUUGGGCCCUUAAAAGCCUAUAAACCUUUACAACUUUCAACAACGGAUCUCUUGGCUCUC